rnacentral:rRNA from 1 species
CCUACGGGUCGCACCAGUGGGGAAUAUUGCACAAUGGGCGCAAGCCUGAUGCAGCCAUGCCGCGUGUAUGAAGAAGGCCUUCGGGUUGUAAAGUACUUUCAGCGGGGAGGAAGGCGAUAAGGUUAAUAACCUUGUCGAUUGACGUUGCCCGCAGAAGAAGCACCGGCUAACUCCGUGCCAGCUACCGCGGUAAUACGGAGGGUGCAAGCGUUAAUCGGAAUUACUGGGCGUAAAGCGCACGCAGGCGGUCUGUCAAGUCGGAUGUGAAAUCCCCGGGCUCAACCUGGGAACUGCAUUCGAAACUGGCAGGCUAGAGUCUUGUAGAGGGGGGUAGAAUUCCAGGUGUAGCGGUGAAAUGCGUAGAGAUCUGGAGGAAUACCGGUGGCGAAGGCGGCCCCCUGGACAAAGACUGACGCUCAGGUGCGAAAGCGUGGGGAGCAAGCAGGAUUAGAUACCCCCGUAGUC